AGUGUGUGAGAGCAGACCUGAGCCGAACUGCACUACUCUGAAUGAUCACUUGGACUGUGCGCUUGGAUUUUUCUGAGGACAUUUGCCUGAAAUGUAACUAAAUAAGACAGAAAUGGAGAGGAAUGGAAACUAUACUAUGUGGAUGAAAAUAUGCCAAUGUUCAGCACAUGUGAAACAUUAAAAACUGAGUUUGAAUGAUGGCCAAGUGGCUUCUGUGGAGGUAUGGCCCCCUGUUGGAGCCGUUAUCUGUGGCAUUAUUCUGGCAGAGCGUUGGGCUGGACCCUGGAAGGGACAGCUGACUC